rnacentral:rRNA from 1 species
UGGGGAAUUUUGGACAAUGGGCGAAAGCCUGAUCCAGCCAUGCCGCGUGAGUGAAGAAGGCCUUCGGGUUGUAAAGCUCUUUUAGUCGGAAAGAAAGAGUUGCAAUGAAUAGUUGUGAUUUAUGACGGUACCGACAGAAAAAGCACCGGCUAACUACGUGCCAGCAGCCGCGGUAAUACGUAGGGUGCGAGCGUUAAUCGGAAUUACUGGGCGUAAAGGGUGCGCAGGCGGUCUUGCAAGUCAGAUGUGAAAGCCCCGGGCUUAACCUGGGAAUUGCGUUUGAAACUACAAGGCUAGAGUGCAGCAGAGGGGAGUGGAAUUCCAUGUGUAGCAGUGAAAUGCGUAGAGAUGUGGAAGAACACCGAUGGCGAAGGCAGCUCCCUGGGUUGACACUGACGCUCAUGCACGAAAGCGUGGGGAGCAAACA